rnacentral:rRNA from 1 species
UCUUCUCGAAUUCGAUUAGAGAUAAAUCCUGGCUCAGGACGAUCUCUGCCGGUGUGCUUAACAGAAGCAAGUGGUGCGACGAACCAGGCUUCGGCCUGGGGCAAAGCCGCGAACGGGUGAGUAUCAUGUGGGUCAUCUGCCCCGAUGACCGGGACAACUCGAGGAAACUCGAGCUAAUACCGGAUGUGGUGCGCGGACAUAAGUCCGCUCACUAAAGGUAGCUUCGGCUUCCGCAUUGGGAGGGGCCCGCGGCCCAUUAGCUUGUUGGUGGGGUCAAGGCCUACCAAGGCAACGAUGGGUAGCUGGUCUGAGAGGACGAUCAGCCACACUGGGACUGAGACACGGCCCAGACUCCUACGGGAGGCAGCAGUGGGGAAUCUUGCGCAAUGCGCGAAAGCGUGACGCAGCAACACCGCGUGAGGGAAGACGGGCCUUAGGGUUGUAAACCUCUUUCAGAUGGGACGAAGGUCAUCCCGGUGAAUAGCCGAGGUGAUUGACGGUACCGUCAGAAGAAGCUCCGGCUAACUACGUGCCAGCAGCCGCGGUAAUACGUUGGAGCGAGCGUUGUCCGGAAUCAUUGGGGCGUAAAGAGCGCGUAGGCGGUCAUCCAGUCUGCUGUGAAAGUCAAAGGCUCAACCUUUGAAAGCUGGCGGAUACUGAUGAUCUAGAGGUCGGGAAGAGCGAGUG